GAAGCCUGCCAGACCGUCGCUGGUGCAAGCUGCAAAGCCAUGGCGAAAGCCAUGGGCCGAAAGGCCGCACUGGAGGAACGUCCGGACUGCACAGGACAGCGUAGGAGGUAACACCUCUCCACCGAAAGGCCGCAAGGCACCAAGGUGAGGAUUAGAGCAACAGAGACGAGCCGAUUCAGUUCGGGUGAAACGGGCAAUCUCUACGCGCAGCAAUACCAAAUAGGCACACGUUGAUCUGGUUCCGGAGAGUGUGCGGGUAGGUAGCACCGAGCCGAGUGGGCAACCCUUGGCCCAGAGUAAUGGCGGUCACAUUGAGGGCAACUUCAAUGCACAGAAUCCGGCUUAUCGGCAGGCUUCACAC
rnacentral:RNase_P_RNA from 1 species